CAUAAAAUUUUAAGAUGGCAGACGAAGGGUCAUGCCUUCUUCCCUGUUCUUUCAUCCUCUUUUCCCAAUUUUGCCCCAAUUCAAUGUAUUACCCCAAUGAAGUCUACACCUGAACAACAAAGAUACGCAAAGCGUCACUCCCAUUUCUAAUACAUAGGUCUCAUCAUUGACUACAUUCACUUCAUCUUCCUUCUCUCUCUAUUCAAUACCCGUUAUAUUUUGUAGGUUUUAAUCCCUGAUUGAAUGAAAAUAUUGAAGGGUCGUUCGUUUUCAGAUUUAGAAUAUAACUGUCAGGCAGUGAUGGUUCAGAUGGAACCUCAGUCACGCGCCGAUUAGGGAUUCACUAGUCGAGAGUUGUGCCAGAUCAGUAUGACGAGUUCAAUUACUAUGUGUACGCUUCAGAUGCAUCGGCGGUGUAUGGUUUAUCCGCGCUUGGAUUGUUGUUGAUUAGUCAGAAGGUUGAGAAGUGUGGCGGUUUUCUUCUUUGUUUUCUCCUGGAUGGUCGUAUAGAUUAUAAUGAAUUUGUAGCAAUGGUGCACAAUGGAAGCGCGACAUUGACAAAGAAGCAAUUAAAGGAUGAUUUUAGUGUUGGGUUAAGGGAGUCGGUGCCAGUUUCUUUAUAGUAUUUGUUUUCAUUGUUUCAUAUAAAUGGCACAUCAUAACAAGUGGAUGUACAGAGUUCACAUUCAUACAUGGGGCGCACACAUAAACACUUAUUCACGAGUUUUAUAGAAUGUUUCAUAACAUUUGUCACUAUUAGCCAUGGGUAUCGGUUACCAAUUAUUGGAUGGGGUGGUAGUGGGAGUGGGUUGGGGUAUGUUUGAUAUGUUGUGGGCUUUGGGUCUUUUGGUUUGGGCUGGAGAUAUAAGGGGAUGGCAGGUAGUUGACCCGUAUAACAUUUCUGCUUGUUUUUUUGGUGGUUCGUUCUUCUCAUCUUCUUAUUUGGUAGCUACAUUUUAGGUCCUUCAACCCUUUUUAAUUCUUUUUAGCAGGUUCAAAAUGACACACUACCACAUUUUAGUCUUUAGAAGCUGUGAUCUUUUAUUUCUUGUUUUUGAGUGCUUAUGUGUAAUGUUAAUAUUUUAACUUGAAAUUUUAAAUCUGUGGUACUGUUUCAUUUUGUUCCGGUUACUGAUGAAGAGCCAAAUCCAUGCUGGUCGAAGGGGCCUAGGGAAGUUAACUGUUGAUGUAAUCACUUGCAGGUUUGAUGUCAGAAAUGAUGAAGAAAUGCAGCAAGGAGAAGAAGAGGCUUUAUUCUGCACUUUGUGCAAUGUAAAGUUUCCCAGGUGGAAUAUGAAGUUCUAAGGUUGCUUGGUCUGGAACAUAGUCAGAUCACUGUUUUGAUGGACUUUGGACUCUCAUUUUUUGGAAUCCUUGUAAAAACGUUGAGAUCAUGUAUUGCAUUUCUUCAAGAUUAUUACCCAACCCGGCUUGGGUGUUUACUUGUUGUAUGGCUCCCCUCUAUUGCCCGAGUCAUAACUCAAACUCAAUUCCAAGUAAGCAUGUUUGAUUUUGUA